GAUGAACGCUGACAGAAUGCUUAACACAUGCAAGUCUUUGGCGAAGCUGUGCUUGCACAGCCUAGCCAAGGCGGGCGGGUGAGUAACGCGUAAGGAACUUGCCCUGCAGUCAGGGAUAACAGACGGAAACGACUGAUAAGACCUGGUAAAGUCAGGCGGACUCAUGUCCAGCCUGAUGAAAAGUGAUGCUGCAGGAGAGCCUUGCGUCCUAUUAGCUAGUUGGUGGGGUAACGGCCCACCAAGGCGAUGAUAGGUAGCCGGCCUGAGAGGGUGGACGGCCACAAGGGGACUGAGAUACGGCCCUUACUCCUACGGGAGGCAGCAGUGGGGAAUAUUGGACAAUGGGGGCAACCCUGAUCCAGCAAUUCUGUGUGCACGAUGAAGGUUUUCGGAUUGUAAAGUGCUUUCAGCAGGGAAGAAAAAAAUGACGGUACCUGCAGAAGAAGCGACGGCUAAAUACGUG
rnacentral:rRNA from 1 species